AUUGAACGCUGGCGGAAUGCUUUACACAUGCAAGUCGAACGGCAGCACGGACUUCGGUCUGGUGGCGAGUGGCGAACGGGUGAGUAAUGUAUCGGAACGUGCCCAGUCGUGGGGGAUAACGUAGUGAAAAUUACGCUAAUACCGCAUACGAUCUAUGGAUGAAAGCGGGGGAUCGCAAGACCUCGCGCGAUUGGAGUGGCCGAUAUCAGAUUAGGUAGUUGGUGGGGUAAAGGCCCACCAAGCCAACGAUCUGUAGCUGGUCUGAGAGGACGAGCAGCCACACUGGAACUGAGACACGGUCCAGACUCCUACGGGAGGCAGCAGUGGGGAAUUUUGGACAAUGGGCGAAAGCCUGAUCCAGCCAUUCCGCGUGCAGGAUGAAGGCCCUCGGGUUGUAAACUGCUUUUGUACAGAACGAAAAGGUUUCUACUAAUACUAGGAGCUCAUGACGGUGCUGUAAGAAUAAGCACCGGCUAACUACGUGCCAGCCGCCGCCGUAA
rnacentral:rRNA from 1 species